CAUAUCAUAAGCGGAGGAAAAGAAACCAACAGGGAUUGCUCUAGUAACGGCGAGUGAAGCAGCAAUAGCUCAAAUUUGAAAUCUGGCGUCUUCGACGUCCGAGUUGUAAUUUGUAGAGGAUGCUUCUGAGUGGCCACCGACCUAAGUUCCUUGGAACAGGACGUCAUAGAGGGUGAGAAUCCCGUAUGCGGUCGGAAAGGCGCUCUAUACGUAGCUCCUUCGACGAGUCGAGUUGUUUGGGAAUGCAGCUCUAAAUGGGAGGUAAAUUUCUUCUAAAGCUAAAUAUUGGCCAGAGACCGAUAGCGCACAAGUAGAGUGAUCGAAAGAUGAAAAGCACUUUGGAAAGAGAGUUAAAAAGCACGUGAAAUUGUUAAAAGGGAAGGGAUUGCAACCAGACUUGCUCGCGGUGUUCCGCCGGUCUUCUGACCGGUCUACUCGCCGCGUUGCAGGCCAGCAUCGUCUGGUGCCGCUGGAUAAGACUUGAGGAAUGUAGCUCCCUCGGGAGUGUUAUAGCCUCUUGUGAUGCAGCGAGCGCCGGGCGAGGUCCGCGCUUCGGCUAGGAUGCUGGCGUAAUGGUCGUAAUCCGCCCGUCUUGAAACACGGACCAAGGAGUCUAACAUCUAUGCGAGUGUUCGGGUGUCAAACCCCUACGCGUAAUGAAAGUGAACGGAGGUGAGAACCGCAAGGUGCAUCAUCGACCGAUCCUGAUGUCUUCGGAUGGAUUUGAGUAAGAGCAUAGCUGUUGGGACCCGAAAGAUGGUGAACUAUGCCUGAAUAGGGUGAAGCCAGAGGAAACUCUGGUGGAGGCUCGCAGCGGUUCUGACGUGCAAAUCGAUCGUCAAAUUUGGGUAUAGGGGCGAAAGACUAAUCGAACCAUCUAGUAGCUGGUUCCUGCCG
rnacentral:rRNA from 1 species